GGGGAGGUGGGCGGCGUGCUUACACAUGCAGUCGAACGGUAAGGCCCUUCGGGGUACACGAGUGGCGAACGGGUGAGUAACACGUGGGUGAUCUGCCCUGCACUUUGGGAUAAGCCUGGGAAACUGGGUCUAAUACCGAAUAGGACUCCGGACUGCAUGGUCUGGGGUGGAAAGCUUUUGCGGUGUGGGAUGGGCCCGCGGCCUAUCAGCUUGUUGGUGGGGUGAUGGCCUACCAAGGCGACGACGGGUAGCCGGCCUGAGAGGGUGACCGGCCACACUGGGACUGAGAUACGGCCCAGACUCCUACGGGAGGCAGCAGUGGGGAAUAUUGCACAAUGGGCGCAAGCCUGAUGCAGCGACGCCGCGUGGGGGAUGACGGCCUUCGGGUUGUAAACCUCUUUCAGCACAGACGAAGCGCAAGUGACGGUAUGUGCAGAAGAAGGACCGGCCAACUACGUGCCAGCAGCCGCGGUAAUACGUAGGGUCCGAGCGUUGUCCGGAAUUACUGGGCGUAAAGAGCUCGUAGGUGGUUUGUCGCGUUGUUCGUGAAAACUCACAACUCAAUUGUGGGCGUGCGGGCGAUACGGGCAGACUGGAGUACUGCAGGGGAGACUGGAAUUCCUGGUGUAGCGGUGGAAUGCGCAGAUAUCAGGAGGAACACCGGUGGCGAAGGCGGGUCUCUGGGCAGUAACUGACGCUGAGGAGCGAAAGCGUGGGGAGCGAACAGGAUUAGAUACCCUGGUAGUCCACGCCGUAAACGGUGGGUACUAGGUGUGGGUUUCCUUCCUUGGGAUCCGUGCCGUAGCUAACGCAUUAAGUACCCCGCCUGGGGAGUACGGCCGCAAGGCUAAAACUCAAAGAAAUUGACGGGGGCCCGCACAAGCGGCGGAGCAUGUGGAUUAAUUCGAUGCGACGCGAAGAACCUUACCUGGGUUUGACAUGCACAGGACGCCGGCAGAGAUGUCGGUUCCCUUGUGGCCUGUGUGCAGGUGGUGCAUGGCUGUCGUCAGCUCGUGUCGUGAGAUGUUGGGGUUAAGUCCCGCAACGAGCGCAACCCUUGUCCUAUGUUGCCAGCGGGUUAUGCCGGGGACUCCUAAGAAACUGCCGGGGUCACUCCGAAGAAAGGGGGGGAUGAACUCAGUCAUCCUGGCCCCUAUGUUCCGGGGGUUUCACCAUGCUAACAAUGGGCCGGUCAAAAGGGCUCCAAUUCCCUGGAGGGGGGAGCAAAACCUCUCUAAAACGGGGCUCCCUUCUGGAAUAGGGGGGUGGGAAACCCAACCCGCGAGAGAGUGGGAAUGCCGGAGUAUUUUCUAAUAG
rnacentral:rRNA from 1 species